ensembl:snRNA U6 U6 spliceosomal RNA
GUGCUCGCUUUGGCAGCACAUAUACUAAAAUUAGAAUGAUACAGAGAAGAUUAGCAUGGCCCCUGGGCAAGUAAUAAGUGAAAUAAAAAAAAAGAACUUAGGCUU